GCAAAAUCAAGACCUUUGUUGGAUAUAACACCAGAGAUGAAACCAUCUUCAAAGGGUUGGUUAGAAGCGAUUGUUGGAAUUAAUAGAAGGUGUGAUAGAAAGAAGAGAUUCAAGAGUUUCAUUAGUUUCUGGAUUUUGUUUAAGAGUAUGGUUUUUUUGAAAGUGUUGUUGGAGAUUUUGGUUUGUAGAAAUUGGUUACGUAGGUAUAAGGAAUUGGUUGGUGUUGGAAUUUGGAUUUUGUUUGGUUUUUUGAUAUGUGAUGUUGACUUCAAGUUAAUAGGGUAUGGAUCGGCUAGUAAUAUAUGAGCUCGUGAACCACGCGACAAGUAGUUGCACUUGUCGAUUAUUUUUUAGAGAGUAAAGAAUCAAUUUUCCUUUUGAAAUUGUCGGUUUCUUCAAUUACUUUUGACCCCUCUGUCAAAUUUUUCUGUUAACUGUUUACGAUUAUGAUCAAAUACCUUCUUGAAAUUUUGCACUUAUGUGCAAAAUGCCCCCUAAACUUGAAAAAUCUUUAUUUUUUUUAUGUUUGACUCAAAAGAUAUUAAAAGCAAAUAAAUUAACAAUUAUUGAUCAUAUAAAUAUGUAUGGAAAGUAUGUUUAUGCAGCUAUUGGUCAUAUAAAUCUUUAUGGAAAGUAUGUUACUCUCGUGUUUUAAAUAUAUACAUAUAUAGAAGACUUUUUUUUACACAAGUUGGUAAUUAUGUUAGAGUAUGCAGUCAUAAAGUACACAAGUCUUUGAUAAUUGUGUGUCCAUAGGUUAAUAUCUGCAGAAGGAAGAAGAAACAUGGCUUGUUGAUAAAUAUGAAUGAAAAGGCUGCACAUGACAAAACCAUGAUUUUUUUGGCAUAUAUUCAUUCAUUUUCUUGUGAAUAGAAUUUUUAUGACAAUAGGUACAAUAUACUACUUGAAGAACUAAAUGUAUGAUUUUUGGUAAGAAAAAAAGAUUUAAAUUUUUAACAUAAGUGCAAAAUUUCAGGGGGGUAUUUGAUCAUAACCGUAAACAGUUAACAGAAAAAUUUGACGGAGGGGUAAAUUGAUUAACGUUAUGCAAUUUCAGGGGGGGUAAUUGAAGUUUUGUUAAUUUCGGGGGGUAAUUGACGAAACUUACAAUUUCAUGGGGGAAAUUGACUAUUUACUCAUUUUUUAGAUGUUGGUAUGAGUAGGGUUGAAAAUGUUAACUUGAGUUCUACUUUUCUUAAUUCAACUUAAUUCGAUAAAAAUUUGUUCACCUCAAAACUCGAUUUAAGUGUGAUAUAAAUAUUGUUUUACCUUUAAUUUAACUAUUUAGAAUUUACUAACAAUUCGACUCCUUGUAUUUAACGUAUUUGAUCAAAUUAGAUAAUUUAAAAAUAUUUUAUUGUCAAAAGAAAAAAAAAUUAGGUUUUUAACCUUUUAAUAUGUUUUUAAAUGCAAAGUUUGAAUUAGUAUAAAAGUUAUCCCAAGAAUAAGGUUUUGAAUUGAUAGAUACAUACAAGUUAGUCCUACAUAAAUAUAGGGAUACUUAGAACCUAGACAACCCUUGUCGAGCUAAUACUCAAAAUCUAAUUCAACCUAAACUCCUCUAGACCGCCAUGGAAGAGAGGGAGGAUUUAUACUAUUUUACUCACAACAAGUACAAUACUCAACUAUAAAGAGUAUAUUUCACUUGAAGUUAAAUCAGUUCAAGUAUUUCACAUUGUUUACACCAACAAUGAUGGUUCAAAAAAACUAUCUUAUUCCAUUAUAAAAAAAAUAUAUAUAUAUACUUCAAUUUAAGUUAAACAACUCCAAGAUAGUUAAAUGUCAAAAAUCAAGCUGAAAAUGUAUGGUGCAACGUUUAGAAAUAAGUUCUUCACCAAUCAAGAUAAUCUCAUAGAACGCCUUAGAUCAAUGUCGAUCAAUGCAUAUGUACUAUUGAACAUCGUACGUGUGUAAUUCUUAUUGUAUAAACAUGUCAUUGACUUAUAUUUUCUGCAAGUCAAAAUUGAUCAUUCCGUCAAAUUUAUCUAGCCCAAACUUCGUAGCAAAACUUUUGAUUGUAGUUACAUAUCCAUACUCUAAAUCAUGCACCAAAUAUUGAACCCAAAAAAGAGAGGUGGAGUCAUAAUGGACACGCUUAAGUUUCAAGCCUUUUCUAACAAAAGUUUCACAAUACCACCUUCUUUUAUGAGGUAGAAGAUCAGACAAGGCUACAACGAAAUGGUAUGAUAUUAGUUAUUGGGAAGACCAAAGGAGCACCUUGCACGACCGAUGAUCUAGGACUAUAAGAGGGGAAGAUAUCGCAUUUCCACUCAUCCUUAAUAUUUUAGAAAUAUGAGUCACUUUUUAUAUAACAAAUAUUAAUUCCAAAAAAAUAAAAUUGUAUCCAUCCAUAAUUAACGUGAGACUUAAAACUCACACUUAAACCUAACAGAGGUCUCGUCUCUGAGUGGAUGCUCUGUUUAAUUUUUCUAAAAGUGAUUUUAAUUAUGCCAUUUAGGUGUUGGUCUGGUGAAGUUAGCUUGUAACCUUGAUGUGUGCUCCUCAUUAAGGUCCCAUGUUCGAUUCUCUUCAAUUCCAUCAAAUUAGGUGAAUUUAAUUUCUUAAAAAAAAUAUAUAUGUUAUUUUGGUGAGACAUUAAAAAUGUUCCUUGACAAUAUAUAUCGUUCUUGUCAAAUAUUUAUUUUAUAUUUUUCUAUUAAUAAGAGUUAAAUAUAGAUAAAAGAAUAUAAGUACACAAGAUAAUAGAAAAUGUCCUUAAAAAAAAAAAAGAUAAUAGAAAAUAACCACUAACAUGCAGAUUAAAUAAAUGUGUCCAUAUGAAAGGUGUGGUUCAAUAUAAUGUCUAAUAUGUGUCCAUAUCGAACACCUACACGACAUGACACAUGUGCUUAAAUAUCAUUUAUUUUUAUUUUCUUAAAGAGAAAUGAUAUUUAUACAACCAAUUUCUAACAACUUUAUGACAAUUUUCUCUCUCAUACUCACAUUAUAUUCUUAUUAUCUCUCUACCUUUUUCUCUCUCUAUUGAUUUUGACUAAUCAAAUAGAGAAAAACAAAGUUGUUAUAGAAAUUAUUUAGAAAGAGAUGUAGAAGUAUCACUACUCUUUCUCAAAUUAUUACCAUUGUUUAUGUGUAAUGUGUAAGUCUAUGUGUCGAACCGGAUUUAUAUGCAAGGUGAUCAAAUAAAAUCAGACGACCCAAAUUUUAAGCUUGAAUUUUAUAUUUAAAAACAAAUAAAAUCCUCGCUUGAAAUAUGGAUCGUUGUCAAAUGUGAGAACUGCAUGAAAUUUGGCUGAAUCCAAAUAUGGAUCGUGUCCUAUGUCUGAGUUGCUAUAAAUACUUGAUACGAUCGAGUAAAGUUUCAACUUCAUACCUUAAUUGAAGCAGUCCCACUACCAGAAAUCCCAAAAGGAAUCAACCAAGAGCUCACAGUAUACUUCCACUUCAUACUCAAAUCAACAGUAGCAGCAGAAAAAACCACAACUAUACCACUCUCUCUAAUAAUCACUGAAGAAUCAUUAACUUGAACAUCCUUAAUCAUGAUAUCAGACAGAGUCACCUUAGCAUUUCCAACAAGUGGGACAUAUGCAGUAUUCUCAAUCUUAGGUAACUUAAGAAGAACAAUAGUUUCAAUACAUUUCUCUAUCAACAAAUCCUUAGCAAAAUCAAGACCCUUGUUAGAUAUAACACCAGAGAUGAAACCAUCUUUAAAGGGUUGAACAUAGCCACUAGUUGGAAUUAAUAUAAGGUGUAAUAGAAAGAAUAGAUUCAAGAGUGUCAUUAGUUUUUUUUGAAAGUGUUGUUUGUUGGAGAUUGGUUUGUGGAAUUGGUUACGUAGGUAUGAAGAAUUGGUUGGUGUUGGAAUUUAGAUUUUG
rnacentral:lncRNA from 1 species